rnacentral:lncRNA from 1 species
GUACACAAAUUAUUCAAUUUAUUCAAUGCAAUUAUAUAAUAUAUGAUUUUCAUAAAGUAACAGCAGAAGAAGUUAAUCUAACAGAAUAAAAAGCACAAUAAACCAGAGCAAAACAAGCACAAAGUUGAAGGUAAGAAACAGAUCGAGUGACAGUUUAAGUCGGUUGAAUCGAUCCGAUCAGCUGGAGUAACAACAAUGCUGAAGUGAAGUUGAUGCUUCGAAUAACCUAAUUGCGAAUAAUCUAACAGCUGCCGUCUGAGAUGACGGAGAAUGGCGGCCGGAGUUAAUAAUAGGAGAGAUGAGGACGGAGAAGCUUACCCUGCGCUACUGCUACCGCCGCCGCCGUCGCUAACUGAAUUUGCUCCACCGCCGGUGAGUGUGAGUGUGAGUGUGUGUGUGUGUGUGUGAAAAGUUGCCACUUUUAGACAAAGGGCAUGAUUCGCUGUUCAAGAUUAGGUUGCUCUUUACACUGUAAAUUUUAGACAAAAAGUAAACAAAUUAAAAUUUUACAUAGGGCAUGUUUGGGUUGAGAUAAAAUCAUAAAACAUUUACAUGUGAUUCCACAAUGGUACAAUGAUACUUCAGUGGUUCGUCAGUGAUCCAAAUUUUUCGUUUAAAAAAAAAGUAAAAAAGUAUAAAAUAUUACAUUGCGUUGAAAAAAUAAUUUUACUAAAGUAGUCUUUUUCAGAGAACCAAUGAGAGGCCGUCAAGCACGUCUCACCGUCUUAAACAGUUGUAGCUCAGUCGUUAUCACUUUUGACACAAAAUUUUAAUGCAAAACAUAGGUUGGGAUCACGCAAUAGCCUAUUAGGGUGUCCCUGUUCAAUCGAUAGACGACAAACAUCCACGUAGGAUUUGUUACGAAUCAACCGUCGUAAUGAAAUCAGGUUUCUUUUUCUUUUGAACUUGGCUUCGUUUAUCAACUCAACUUGCCAUUUUAAUUAAAAUACAUAUUAGUCGGCUUAGCCAAAAAAAAUUAAUCAACGAUCGGCUGAGCAUGAUAAUUUAAAAAAAAAUGAAUAGGUAACAAUUAUUUGUGUUAUAUAAAUAUCCAAUGACCAAUUUCACUCUUCACAUGUGACAUUAUAGUUCGGUGACUAACGACCAACUUCAAAGAUUGAUUUUUGAAAGUUAACGACUUAGCCUUCAUUUAUAAACCAAAGGGCUUAUAUUCUAUACUUGUUCAAAUUAGGGGGUUCAUCUCUAAGUUUGUUGUUCAAAAACUCAAAAUUUAUAAAUAAAAAUUCAAAAAGUUCUGGUGACCGGAGGGUCAACGGACCCUCUUGACCCCCCUCUGGUUCCGCCCCUAUGUAGUACGAUUGAGUUGACAAGAGGUUCUUGCCAUUAAGUUGCUAACUCAAUAUGUUAUAUAUGUUCAAAGUACCAUAUUUUUAUAUUUCUAUUGUAUUUUGUAUUAUUUAUUUUAAUUUGGAAGGCCCUAGUUAAGUGGAGGCCUAAAGCAAUUGCUUAGGGUCACUCUCUCUUUAGUCGGCUCUACUAAUUACUCUGCUUGUGAUUGGCAUUUGAGAUUAUGUUUGGAAGUUGGAAGGCAAAACUGAUUUAAAGAAUAAAUUUUAGACCGUAUUUGAUUAUUUGUAUUAUUAGAUAUUGGCGUCUUGCAGUUGGCUAUUGGUCUAUUGAUAUUUGUUUGAGAAUUUGAUACAUAUUAGUUAUCAAACAAAAUUUGCUUAGGGAAUUUUAGAUUUGCUAUUACAUUUGCUUGGGGAAUUUUCUAUUAAUCCUGUUGUUUUUCUCAAAAAGUAAUUGAUAUUUUACCUAUGUCAAAUUGAAAGCGAACUUAUGCAUCCGGUUACGUAAAAAGAGAAAAAAGCGUAAACAAGUAGCUUUAAUUCAAACACAAAAGGGAUCACAUGCUAUAAUGUUUAACUAGUUUCUAAUCCAAAGUAGAUGCAAGUUUUUUUGUGAAAUUAUACAAAUUCAAAUGGCCUCCACUUUUUAUUUCGCUUAGAGCCUCCAAAAACAUUGGAAUGACCAUGCGCUUCCGUUUCUUGCUCGACGACUGUUACAUCCAUAUGUGGGGAAAGUUUAAAAAGUUUUGCUGCCGGAAACUCCUUAAAAAGAUUUUGUGUUAGAUCGUAAGUGACGACCGCUUAGAAACUCAUAAGGCUAUGUCCAUUCAUAACCUUCUCCAACCCAACCUUUUAAUAAAAAAAAAACUAGUUUUUCUCUCUUUCACCUACACAACCCAACCUAACCCAACCUUUAAAAUGUAUUAGAAAUAAUUAAAAUAAAUAUUUUCGUUUGAAACCGAUUUAUUUUAAAUGUAAAACAAAUAGCAACAAUAAAAGAAAUAUUUUAAUUAAAAAAACACACACAUUCAACAAACACACUUAAUAAAAAAGACAAACAAGUUACAACCAUCACAUGGAAUGUAAAAUUAUAGAUACAUAAUAUACAAACUACAUUAUUAUUCGUCGACUGCAGAUUUGUGCCAUAAGAUAGAAAAUCAUGAGUAUUGUAUGAAAUCAAAAGAGAAUAAGAUAGAGAAUUAAAAGUGG